GACGAACGCUGGCGGCGUGCUUAACACAUGCAAGUCGAACGGAAAGGCCCCUUUGGGGGUACUCGAGUGGCGAACGGGUGAGUAACACGUGAGUAACCUGCCCUUGACUUCGGGAUAACUUCAGGAAACUGGGGCUAAUACCGGAUAGGAAUCCUUGCUGCAUGGUGGGGGUUGGAAAGCUUCGGCGGUUUUGGAUGGACUCGCGGCUUAUCAGCUUGUUGGUGGGGUAGUGGCUUAUCAAGGCUUUGACGGGUAGCCGGCCUGAGAGGGCGACCGGCCACAUUGGGACUGAGAUACGGCCCAGACUCCUACGGGAGGCAGCAGUGGGGAAUAUUGCACAAUGGGCGGAAGCCUGAUGCAGCAACGCCGCGUGCGGGAUGACGGCCUUCGGGUUGUAAACCGCUUUCAGCAGGGGCGAAGCUUGUGGUGACGGUACCUGCAGAAGAAGCACCGGCUAACUACGUG
rnacentral:rRNA from 1 species